UCCUUGUUAGUAUAGUGGUGAGUAUCCUCACCUGUCAUGCUGGAGACCAGGGUUCGAUUCCCUGACAGGGAG
rnacentral:tRNA from 1 species